GCUAUUACCAUGGGAAUGGUUCUUCUGAAUGAAGCAGCAACUUCCAAAGGAGAUGUUGGAAAAAGACGGAUAAUUUGCCUAGUGGGAUUAGGCCUGGUGGUGUUCUUCUUCAGUUUUCUACUUUCCAUAUUUCGUUCCAAGUACCAUGGCUAUCCCUAUAGCUUUUUAAUUAAAUGAAGCCAAGUUGCAUAAAGUGAAUGUUUACCAUGAAGAUAAACUGUUCCUGACCAUUACACUAUUUUGAAUUCUUGAGCUCAUUUCUUUGUUGACUGUGAUAAGCUAGCAUAUUCUUGUAUACUUUUUUUAACUGUGGGUGUUCCUUGUAAAUUUAACUUUUAGAAAUGGAUAGUAACAUUCAGUAAUCCACAAAGGAAACAUUAAAGUGUUUUGCAAGCAUAUUAUAUUGAGUGUGUACCAGAGGAUUGAAAUAAAUGGCAAUGUAACUACGAAUUCAUGUUUUAGAACUAUUCACUCAUUGGUAAAGGCAACCACCAUGUUAG